GUCUCUGUAGCACAAUUGAUAGUGAGUUGGAAUUCUAAUCCAAAGGUUGUGGGUCCGAAUUCCACCUGGAAUG